rnacentral:misc_RNA from 1 species
GAUAAGAACGCAGCGAAAUGCGAUAAGUAGUGUGAAUUGCAGAAUUCAGUGAAUCAUCGAAUCUUUGAACGCACAUUGCGCCCCAUGGUAUUCCGUGGGGCAUGCCUGUUCGAGCGUCAUUUACCCCCUCAAGCUCCGCUUGGUGUUGGGCGUCUGUCCCGCUUCGCGCGCGGACUCGCCCCAAAGGUAUUGGCAGCGGUCGUGCCAGCUUCUCGCGCAGCACAUUGCGCUUCUCGAGGCACCGGUGGGCCCGCGUCCAUCAAGCUCACCCCCCCAGUUUGACCUCGGAUCAGGUAGGGAUACCCGCUGAACUUAAGCAUAUCAAUAAGCGGAGGA